UGGGGGAUAUUGCACAAUGGGGGAAACCCUGAUGCAGCAACGCCGCGUGAAGGAAGAAGGUCUUCGGAUUGUAAACUUUUGUCUUGCGGGACGAAUAAUGACGGUACCUCAAAAACAAGCCACGGCUAACUACGUGCCAGCAGCCGCGGUAAUACGUAGGUGGCGAGCGUUGUCCGGAAUUACUGGGUGGAAAGGGCGUGUAGGCGGGAAAGUAAGUCAGAUGUGAAAUACCGGGGCUUAACUCCGGGGCUGCAUCUGAAACUGUUUGUCUUGAGUGUCGGAGAGGAAAGCGGAAUUCCUAGUGUAGCAGUGAAAUGCGUAGAUAUUAGGAGGAACACCAGUGGCGAAGGCGGCUUUCUGGACGACAACUGACGCUGAGGCGCGAAAGCGUGGGGAGCAAACAGG
rnacentral:rRNA from 2 species